UACAGAGGUCUCAAGCGUUGUUCGGAUUCAUUGGGCGUAAAGGGUGCGUAGGUGGCGCGCUAAGUCAGGUGUGAAAUUUCGGAGCUUAACUCCGAAACUGCAUUUGAUACUGGCGUGCUUGAGGACUGGAGAGGAGACUGGAAUUCACGGUGUAGCAGUGAAAUGCGUAGAUAUCGUGAGGAAGACCAGUGGCGAAGGCGGGUCUCUGGCCCGGUACUGACGCUGAGGUGCGAAAGCGUGGGGAGCAAACAGG
rnacentral:rRNA from 1 species